ACUCGUGAAACCUGCUGUCACCCGGGUGUACGGCCUGACAGAUAUUUAACCAGGGAGAACAUAUUCCAGAACAGGACGUCACAGAGACAGUCACGGGAAGUCGGAUGAAUAGGAAGAGCGACGCCCGAGUGUUGAGGGAUGUAGUGAGCAUACUGCGCAGGCGACCUCUUGUUUCACCCCAUUUGCAGUUGCAGGGAGCAGGGGUCGCAGCGGAAGGCUGUGCCAGGCUGGCCAGACAUGACCUUCCUCCAUUAUUCUGCUCACGUGCUGCUUCCUAACAGACCCGCCAGCGUGGCGGCUGCAGCGCCAGCACGUUCAUCCCGUGGGUGGCCUGGGCUCGGCUAGGAGGCCCCAGGUGCUCCCCUCCAGUCCCGGUCGGGUUGUGGCUGGGGCUGGAAUCCUCUCCGAAGUCUGUCGCUCACGUGGCCAGCAGUUGCUCCUGGCCGUCCUCUGGGACCUUCGGGAAUGCUGGGAAUUGGGUGCAGCCCUCUUCAUGGAAGGUUCCGUGUGUUAGUAAUUUGGUUUGAGUUACUUAAUCUCUCAGAGAGACUGGACGUUAGAAACUGAGUCCUCUUCCUCCCGACUCCGUAAGUCACCUCCCCCGAGUCCUUUCACGCCACUGGUGAGGCCCCCCAGCGGAUGCCUGUCACCUGCCUCCCUGUUAAGACAUUCAGGAGCGGUGCUUACGUUACCAAUGGCAUUGAGUGUGACAAGUGUCCCUUUUCACAAAAAGUGAAUUUGACCUCCGUUUUCAUGUGUUAAAUAGGCCUAAUUUCCACUGACACAAACAGGACUUGGUUUAAUAAAAAUGAAUAGAAUCUUCA